GCAGGUUUUAACUUUUUUUCAUUUUAUCCCAGUUAUUUUUUUUUAUUUUCUGUUUUUUAUUUCAAUCUUUUUCAUUUUGUCCGAAUUAUUCAAUUCUACACCACCUUAAUUAGAGACUAGCACGCUUGAUUUGGCAAACUUCCCGGUUGGUCACCCAUCCUAGAUUGCUCCAACCCCAGCACGCUUAACUUCUUAGUUCCAUGCGACUGCAGUUCCGAGUAGCUCGC
rnacentral:lncRNA from 1 species